rnacentral:lncRNA from 1 species
AUCAUUGUAAAUGCUGUCGUCUUUAAAAUCGGAUUUAAAUUUGGGGUCGGUACUUUUUCGUUUGAUUCUGGAACUCUGCUGAAUGCAAGGUUGAUCUUGGCUGGCUUGAAGAAUUUGAUAGAAGGUGGCAGUUCCGGCUAAAGGAACUUCCGGUGGCGAUGUGAAUGCUUUUCCAAUCGGGACAUUCCGUUUCCGUUGGCAAGUCGGCCAAGCAAGCGUACUUUGAUCAAAUUUUUGAAUACUGUACAAAACAUUCGAAAUCGAGUUGGGUAGGUAUUUGGCAUUUGGAUUUAAAGCAAUUGGAUAAUGUAGCCUCUCCAUAAACGAGCAAUUUGGAUUUUAAAAUACUCGGGAACUGAAAUUUUGAUUCAGUUUUAUUACGACAUUGAACACAAAAUAAAUUUCAAUUGCCUUUAAAGAACAAGGAAGGACUUGAAAUGAGAAUCUUUAAGUGCUAGUAUGUUGGAUAAUAAAUUAACU